CCAGAGGGUCGGGCGGCCGCGGGUGCUUCGUGAAGCACGCGAGGAAAGUCCGGGCUCCACGGAAACGACGGUGGCGGGUAACGCCCGCCGGGGGCGACCCCAGGGACAGUGCAACAGAGAGCAGACGGCCGGGUUGCGACCCGGUCACGGUGAAAGGGUGCGGUAAGAGCGCACCGCGCGACCGGUAACGGAAGCGGCACGGUAAACCCCACCGGGAGCAAAACCGAAUAGGGACGGCAUAGGGGCCUCGUUCCGGCCCGUCGUCCGGGUUGGUUGCUGGAGGCGGCGCGCGAGCGUCGUCCUAGAGGAAUGGUCGCCUAUCCUUGCUGCAAGGCAAGGUGGACAGAACCCGGCUUACAGACCCUCUGGCACU
rnacentral:RNase_P_RNA from 1 species